rfam:Toxocara canis scaffold473, whole genome shotgun sequence.
GGCGAGAUGGCCGAGCGGUCCAUGGCGGUGGUUUUGGGCACCAGUCUCUUCGGUGGCGUGGGUUCGAAUCCAGCUAUCGUCA